rnacentral:lncRNA from 1 species
GAUCAACCCUCAAAUCUGAGACCCAACGAAAUUACCCCAGCAGCUACAUUUUGGGGAUCUGAGAGAAAUGUUCUGCACUAGCAUCUGAGAUAGAAAGGAAACAAGUCUACAAGGGUCUUCUCAGCUACAGUUCCCCCAUCCAUGCACGGACAUGAUACCUCUCCUAUGAGUUCUGUCCCAGGAGAGUUAGAAAGCCAGGUUUCCACACAGCCCUGCCAUCAGAUCUGCCCUGCUGGGAUGCCAGUCAAAGAGGAGCACACAUGGGCAGUGGACAUGGGCCUUCCUACCCCCCAGACUUUGGGGCAGAGCACAGCGCAGGAGCCCAGCUCCGACACAAUGCCCGCCCCGAGUUUGUUGCAGGAUCUGUGCCUUAUCUCGCCUCAGCAUCUGAAAGCAGACUUUGGCUAAGUCCUACAUGCUGCUAUUUAAACCUAUGGCCACUCCCAGCUCCAAGGACAUGCCACCAGUUUCUCUUGGAACGACUAUUUUCUGCAUCUUGCCAAGUUCUGUAUAUGUGGGUGAAGGGUGGAAGAACAGCAGGCUGGAGUGAGCUGGAGAGCAGAAAGGAGAUGUGGCAGAAAGAGGAACAAUAAGCCAGAGAGGGUCUAAGGAAAGGGUGUCUAAAUGAAGUAAAAGGUCUGAUGAAGGGGAACAGUCACUGGGGAACAACAGGAAAAAUCUGGGGAACAACACCACCAAUGCAAUGAGUUAGCAAAAUGAAAGAGGAAAAGAGGAGCAGAUGCAUGGAGAAAUGACAGGGAAAUGCCAGUCUGCUGUUUGCAAUUCUGGAAAUAGUGAUGGAGUGAAGGAUUUGGACCUGCUACAGGAUAUUCAGACACACGUUUUUCAAGAAGCUAUUCCUGCAUUUUCAGCUGGGAAUUUCUGUGACCUUGAAAUGUCAAUUUAUUUCUUUAAAC